GACGAACGCUGGCGGCGUGCUUAACACAUGCAAGUCGAACGGUGAAGGGACCAGCUUGCUGGUUCUGGAUGAGUGGCGAACGGGUGAGUAACACGUGAGUAACCUGCCCCCUUCUUCUGGAUAACCGCAUGAAAGUGUGGCUAAUACGGGAUAUUCUUGGUCUGUCGCAUGGCGGGCCCGGGAAAGAUAUUGCUUCGGUGGUGGAUGGUCUCGCCGCCUAUCAGCUUGUUGGUGGGGUGAUGGCCUACCAAGGCGGUGACGGGUAGCCGGCCUGAGGGGGUGGACGGUCACAAUGGAACUGAGACACGGCCCAGACUGCUACGGGAGGGAGCAGUAGGGAAUAUUGCACGAGGGGGGCAAGCCUGAUGCAGCGGCGCCGGGUGAGAGAGGGAGGCGUUCGGGUUGUAAACCUCUUUCGCAAGAGAAGCAGGCCUGCUACUUGUGGGUGGGUUGACGGUAGCUGGAUAAGAAGCGCCGGCUAACUACGUG
rnacentral:rRNA from 1 species